UAGGCAGAAGCCUGUUGGUUUGAGGCAUAUAGCUGUUAACUAUAAUAUCAUGGGAUCGAAGCCCAUCUGUCUAG
rnacentral:tRNA from 1 species